AUUGAACGCUGGCGGCAUGCUUUACACAUGCAAGUCGAACGGUAACAGGCCGCAAGGUGCUGACGAGUGGCGAACGGGUGAGUAAUGCAUCGGAACGUGCCCAGUCGUGGGGGAUAACUACUCGAAAGAGUAGCUAAUACCGCAUACGAUCUAUGGAUGAAAGCGGGGGACCGUAAGGCCUCGCGCGAUUGGAGCGGCCGAUGUCAGAUUAGGUAGUUGGUGGGGUAAAGGCUCACCAAGCCAACGAUCUGUAGCUGGUCUGAGAGGACGGCCAGCCACACUGGAACUGAGACACGGCCCAGACUCCUACGGGAGGCAGAAGUGGGGAAUUUUGGCCAAUGGGCGCAAGCCUGAUCCAGCAAUGCCGCGUGCAGGAAGAAGGCCUUCGGGUUGUAAACUGCUUUUGUACGGAACGAAACGGCUCUGGUUAAUACCCGGGGCUAAUGACGGUACCGUAAGAAUAAGCACCGGCUAACUACGUG
rnacentral:rRNA from 1 species